rnacentral:rRNA from 1 species
CCUACGGGAGGCAGCAGUGAGGAAUAUUGGUCAAUGGGAGAGAUCCUGAACCAGCCAAGCCGCGUGAGGGAAGACGGCCCUAUGGGUUGUAAACCUCUUUUGUCGGGGAACAAAACCCGGGACGUGUCCCGGACUGCGUGUAUCCGAAGAAAAAGCAUCGGCUAACUCCGUGCCAGCAGCCGCGGUAAUACGGAGGAUGCGAGCGUUAUCCGGAUUUAUUGGGUUUAAAGGGUGCGUAGGCGGUCCGUUAAGUCAGCGGUAAAAUUGCGGGGCUCAACCCCGUCGAGCCGUUGAAACUGGCAGACUGGAGUUGGAGAGAAGUACGCGGAAUGCGCGGUGUAGCGGUGAAAUGCAUAGAUAUCGCGCAGAACUCCGAUUGCGAAGGCAGCGUACCGGCGCCAGACUGACGCUGAGGCACGAAAGCGUGGGGAUCGAACAGGAUUAGAUACCCGUGUAGUC